rnacentral:rRNA from 1 species
GACGAACGCUGGCGGCGUGCUUAACACAUGCAAGUCGAACGGAAGGGCCCUGCUUUUGUGGGGUGCUCGAGUGGCGAACGGGUGAGUAACACGUGAGUAACCUGCCCUUGACUUUGGGAUAACUUCAGGAAACUGGGGCUAAUACCGGAUAGGAGCUCCUGCUGCAUGGUGGGGGUUGGAAAGUUUCGGCGGUUGGGGAUGGACUCGCGGCUUAUCAGCUUGUUGGUGGGGUAGUGGCUUACCAAGGCUUUGACGGGUAGCCGGCCUGAGAGGGUGACCGGCCAAAUUGGGACUGAGAUGCCGCCCAGACUCCUACGGGAGGCAGCAGUGGGGAAUAUUGCACAAUGGGCGGAAGCCUGAUGCAGCAACGCCGCGUGCGGGAUGACGGCCUUCGGGUUGUAAACCGCUUUCGCCUGUGACGAAGCGUGAGUGACGGUAAUGGGUAAAGAAGCACCGGCUAACUACGUG